rnacentral:rRNA from 1 species
AGAAAUGACUCUCGGCRACGGAUAUCUUGGCUCACGCAUCGAUGAAGAACGUAGCAAAAUGCGAUACUUGGUGUGAAUUGCAGAAUCCCGUGAACCAUCGAGUUUUUGAACGCAAGUUGCGCCCGAAGCCAUUCGCCGAGGGCACAUCUGCCUGGGCGUCACG